rnacentral:ncRNA from 2 species
GUGUUAUCAAGAAAGGUAGAGGGAAUAGACCCAAUGAAACCUUGGCAACCCUUUAACUUGUAAAGAAGGUGCUACGUUCUACUGUUAAUUCUGAAAUUAUUUCAGACAUAAAACAGAAAGAUAACGA